rnacentral:rRNA from 1 species
UACGGAGGGUGCAAGCGUUAAUCGGAAUUACUGGGCGUAAAGCGUGCGUAGGUGGUUUGUUAAGUCUGUUGUGAAAGCCCCGGGCUCAACCUGGGAAUGGCAAUGGAUACUGGCAGGCUAGAGUGCGGUAGAGGGUAGUGGAAUUCCCGGUGUAGCGGUGAAAUGCGUAGAGAUCGGGAGGAACACCAGUGGCGAAGGCGGCUACCUGGACCAGCACUGACACUGAGGCACGAAAGCGUGGGGAGCAGACAGG